rnacentral:misc_RNA from 1 species
GAUGAAGAACGCAGCGAAAUGCGAUAAGUAAUGUGAAUUGCAGAAUUCAGUGAAUCAUCGAAUCUUUGAACGCACAUUGCGCCCCUUGGUAUUCCGAGGGGCAUGCCUGUUCGAGCGUCAUUAUAACCCCUCAAGCUCAGCUUGGUGUUGGGGCCUGCUGCACUGGCAGCCCUUAAAAUCAGUGGCGGCGCCAUCUGGCUCUAAGCGUAGUAAUUCUUCUCGCUAUGGAGUCCUGGUGGAUGCUUGCCAUCAACCCCCAAUUUUUUUCAGGUUGACCUCGGAUCAGGUAGGGAUACCCGCUGAACUUAAGCAUAUCAAUAAGCGGAGGA